AAAUUGAAGAGUUUGAUCAUGGCUCAGAUUGAACGCUGGCGGCAGGCCUAACACAUGCAAGUCGAACGGUAACAGGAAUCAGCUUGCUGAUUUGCUGACGAGUGGCGGACGGGUGAGUAAUGUCUGGGAAACUGCCUGAUGGAGGGGGAUAACUACUGGAAACGGUAGCUAAUACUGCAUAAUGUCGCAAGACCAAAGAGGGGGACCUUCGGGCCUCUUGCCAUCGGAUGUGCCCAGAUGGGAUUAGCUAGUAGGUGGGGUAACGGCUCACCUAGGCGACGAUCCCUAGCUGGUCUGAGAGGAUGACCAGCCACACUGGAACUGAGACACGGUCCAGACUCCUACGGGAGGCAGCAGUGGGGAAUAUUGCACAAUGGGCGCAAGCCUGAUGCAGCCAUGCCGCGUGUAUGAAGAAGGCCUUCGGGUUGUAAAGUACUUUCAGCGGGGAGG
rnacentral:rRNA from 1 species